rnacentral:rRNA from 1 species
GACCAUGGCUCAGGAUGAACGCUGGCGGCGUGCCUAACACAUGCAAGUCGAGCGAAGCACUUUGCUUAGAUUCUUCGGAUGAAGAGGAUUGUGACUGAGCGGCGGACGGGUGAGUAACGCGUGGGUAACCUGCCUCAUACAGGGGGAUAACAGUUAGAAAUGACUGCUAAUACCGCAUAAGACCACAGCACCGCAUGGUGCGGGGGUAAAAACUCCGGGUGGUAUGAGAUGGACCCG